rnacentral:rRNA from 1 species
GACGAACGCUGGCGGCGUGCCUAAUACAUGCAAGUAGAACGCUGAAGGAGGAGCUUGCUUCUCUGGAUGAGUUGCGAACGGGUGAGUAACGCGUAGGUAACCUGCCUGGUAGCGGGGGAUAACUAUUGGAAACGAUAGCUAAUACCGCAUAAGAGUAGAUGUUGCAUGACAUUUGCUUAAAAGGUGCAAUUGCAUCACUAGCAGAUGGACCUGCGUUGUAUUAUCUAGUUGGUGGGGUAACGGCUCACCAAGGCGACGAUGCUUAGCCAGACUGAGAGGGUGACACGGCCCAGUCGCAUUGAGGGAGGAGCCAGAGGGAAUCGUGGGCAAUGGGCGGAAGUUUGACCGAGAAACGCGGCGUGAGUGAAGAAGGUCGUCGGAUGGUAAAGCUCUGUUGUAAGAGAAGAACGAGUGUGAGAGUGGAAAGUUCACACUGUGACGGUAAUUUACAAGAAAGAGACGGCUAACUACGUG